GGUCAGCGACUUAUAUUCUGUAGCAAGGUUAACCGUAUAGGGGAGCCGCAGGGAAACCGAGUCUUAACUGGGCGUUAAGUUGCAGGGUAUAGACCCGAAACCCGGUGAUCUAGCCAUGGGCAGGUUGAAGGUUGGGUAACACUAACUGGAGGACCGAACCGACUAAUGUUGAAAAAUUAGCGGAUGACUUGUGGCUGGGGGUGAAAGGCCAAUCAAACCGGGAGAUAGCUGGUUCUCCCCGAAAGCUAUUUAGGUAGCGCCUCGUGAACUCAUCUUCGGGGGUAGAGCACUGUUUCGGCUAGGGGGUCAUCCCGACUUACCAACCCGAUGCAAACUACGAAUACCGAAGAAUGUUAUCACGGGAGACACACGGCGGGUGCUAACGUCCGUCGUGAAGAGGGAAACAACCCAGACCGCCAGCUAAGGUCCCAAAGUCAUGGUUAAGUGGGAAACGAUGUGGGAAGGCCCAGACAGCCAGGAUGUUGGCUUAGAAGCAGCCAUCAUUUAAAGAAAGCGUAAUAGCUCACUGGUCGAGUCGGCCUGCGCGGAAGAUGUAACGGGGCUAAACCAUGCACCGAAGCUGCGGCAGCGACACUAUGUGUUGUUGGGUAGGGGAGCGUUCUGUAAGCCGUUGAAGGUGGCCUGUGAGGGUUGCUGGAGGUAUCAGAAGUGCGAAUGCUGACAUAAGUAACGAUAAUGCGGGUGAAAAACCCGCACGCCGGAAGACCAAGGGUUCCUGUCCAACGUUAAUCGGGGCAGGGUGAGUCGACCCCUAAGGCGAGGCCGAAAGGCGUAGUCGAUGGGAAACAGGUUAAUAUUCCUGUACUCGGUGUUACUGCGAAGGGGGGACGGAGAAGGCUAUGUUGGCCGGGCGACGGUUGUCCCGGUUUAAGCAUGUAGGCGGAUGUUCCAGGUAAAUCCGGAACGUUAUCAACGCUGAGGUGUGAUGACGAGGCACUACGGUGCUGAAGUGACAAAUGCCCUGCUUCCAGGAAAAGCCUCUAAGCAUCAGGUAACAUCAAAUCGUACCCCAAACCGACACAGGUGGUCAGGUAGAGAAUACCAAGGCGCUUGAGAGAACUCGGGUGAAGGAACUAGGCAAAAUGGUGCCGUAACUUCGGGAGAAGGCACGCUGAUAUGUAGGUGAAGUGGUUUACCCAUGGAGCUGAAAUCAGUCGAAGAUACCAGCUGGCUGCAACUGUUUAUUAAAAACACAGCACUGUGCAAACACGAAAGUGGACGUAUACGGUGUGACGCCUGCCCGGUGCCGGAAGGUUAAUUGAUGGGGUUAUCCGUAAGGAGAAGCUCUUGAUCGAAGCCCCGGUAAACGGCGGCCGUAACUAUAACGGUCCUAAGGUAGCGAAAUUCCUUGUCGGGUAAGUUCCGACCUGCACGAAUGGCGUAAUGAUGGCCAGGCUGUCUCCACCCGAGACUCAGUGAAAUUGAACUCGCUGUGAAGAUGCAGUGUACCCGCGGCAAGACGGAAAGACCCCGUGAACCUUUACUAUAGCUUGACACUGAACACUGGUCCUUGAUGUGUAGGAUAGGUGGGAGGCUUUGAAGUGUGGACGCCAGUCUGCAUGGAGCCAUCCUUGAAAUACCACCCUUUAAUGGCUGGUGUUCUAACGUGG
rnacentral:rRNA from 1 species